UAAGUUGCCCUGGCUGUCUGAAACUCCCCAGCCUCCUGCAUAGCUGGGUUCAAGGCAUAUACCACCACACCUGCCUGUUUUUCUCCUACAAGAAUUAUAGUCAGCUAAGAAAUAUAGGCAGUCAGACAGGGCUAGGCCCUCAGAGUCAGUGCAGAACACAUUACAACUGUGGCUGGAGGCGCAUCUGUCAAAGGCCAGGCCCCAAGAUAAAAGACGCAACGACCAGGCCUACAUGCCUCCCCGAGGGGAAGGGACUCUCUUUCCCCUUUUCCGAUGAUGGCUGAAGUUUCCACCUGUUGGCUUGCUGUUCCCCAUCCCCCUACAAGUUGCACAACUGCAGUCUGCUAAGAAGUGAAGAGUAAACAAGAGGGACAAUGAAUGCAUCCUCUCAAAGACAGCACUAAUCAGCGGGCCCCACCCUCAGAAUUUGGGGGCCGGAAGUGCUGCUGGUUGAAAGCUGAAGAUCACAGCCGAUAAUAAAGUUAAUUGUUACCCAGUCA